AUUGAACGCUGGCGGCAUGCCUUACACAUGCAAGUCGAACGGCAGCACGGGUGCUUGCACCUGGUGGCGAGUGGCGAACGGGUGAGUAAUACAUCGGAACAUGUCCUGUAGUGGGGGAUAGCCCGGCGAAAGCCGGAUUAAUACCGCAUACGAUCUACGGAUGAAAGCGGGGGACCUUCGGGCCUCGCGCUAUAGGGUUGGCCGAUGGCUGAUUAGCUAGUUGGUGGGGUAAAGGCCUACCAAGGCGACGAUCAGUAGCUGGUCUGAGAGGACGACCAGCCACACUGGGACUGAGACACGGCCCAGACUCCUACGGGAGGCAGCAGUGGGGAAUUUUGGACAAUGGGCGAAAGCCUGAUCCAGCAAUGUCGCGUGUGUGAAGAAGGCCUUCGGGUUGUAAAGCACUUUUGUCCGGAAAGAAAUCCUUGGCCCUAAUACGGUCGGGGGAUGACGGUACCGGAAGAAUAAGCACCGGCUAACUACGUG
rnacentral:rRNA from 1 species